GAGCGCCGUAGCAAUACGGAGCGGCAGACGGGAGAGUAACACGUGGGAACGUGCCCUUCAGUUCGGAACAACUCAGGGAAACUUGGGCUAAUACCGAAUACGUCCGUAAGGAGAAAGAUUUAUCGCUGAAGGAUCGGCCCGCGUCUGAUUAGCUAGUUGGUGGGGUAAUGGCCCACCAAGGCGACGAUCAGUAGCUGGUCUGAGAGGAUGAUCAGCCUCACUGGGACUGAGACACGGCCCAGACUCCUACGGGAGGCAGCAGUGGGGAAUAUUGGACAAUGGGCGCAAGCCUGAUCCAGCCAUGCCGCGUGGGUGAUGAAGGCCCUAGGGUUGUAAAGCCCUUUCGGCGGGGAAGAUAAUGACGGUACCCGCAGAAGAAGCCCCGGCUAACUUCGUG
rnacentral:rRNA from 1 species